GGCCCGGCUGCUCGGAACGAGGGGCCCGGGCCGUGCGUGGUCACCGGCCCUGCCCGUGCUCCGCGGGCGCCUGUGUCCGGCGCUGGGCGGUGCGGCUCUUGGGUUAGGGGUUACUGCGGUAGUGCUCGCCUUGAAGGUCUCUUCCAGCCUAAGUGAUGCUGUGAUUGUGUGACUGUUCCAUGCGAGUUCCCGGCUGGGGCGGCGGCCGGGGAGGGGAAGUUUCAGAGCUCGCGAGCCGCAUUUCCCGUUACCGUGAGGGCACCAGAAAACAGCGCCGGGCGGGAAGGGCGGAUUUUGCGCGCCCCGAGGAUCUCCGGGAGGGUUCUGAUCCGCCCCCGGACGUCCCCGUUGUCAAACCAAGCACUGUAAGGUGACAUGAAUAUUGACUCAUUCAGCUGUAGCCGCACCUCGUUCUCAGAGACCGUGGCUCCAUGCUGAGGGGCUGAAAGGAACUGCAGACUAAUGCACUAAUCCCAUCAAACAGGAGUCACAAAACGCAUGCCACCAGAUCCCACUCCACCUGGACUUAUCAGGUUAUGGUGAUUAUGAAAGGUCCUCAGGAACUGGAGAAAGCUAAUUAAUAUGCCUACUUUCAAGAGGGAAAGGAAGGAUAUCCAGAGAACUGUACACAGGACAGUUUCAUCUCUGUUCCUGGGAAGAUUAUGAAAUAAAUCUUCCGCGAAGCAAUUGUUAGGCACAGCAAGCAUCAUUCCUGGGCUAUGGGGGUCCCAGCAUCCUGAGCAGGAAGACCAUGGCUGUGAGAGUGAUAAACUCCCAGUUGACCCUGAACUUGUGUGGCGUUUGCUGCUCCAGCUGGAUCCUUCUAAAUCUGUGGGGCCUGAUGGGAUUCAUCUGAGAAUACUCAAAGAGCUGGCUGAUGUCAUCACAAGACCUCUCUAGAUGAGUUUUGAAUGGUCUUGGGAAUCUGGAGAGGUCCCAGUUGACUGGAAGCUGGAGAAAAUUGUCCCAGUUUUCAAGAAGGGCAAGAAAAAUGACCCUGGAAAUUCCAGGUCUGUCAGUCUCAUUUUGAUGACUGGUAAAAUUAUGGAGAAGAUUAUUCUGGGAGGUAUUGGAAAUCACCUGAAAGACAACACAGUCAUUGGUAACAGCCAACACAGCUUCAUGAAAGUCCUGUUUGUCACACCUGAUUUCCUUUUAUGACAAAGUAACCCAUCCAGCUGAUGAAAGGAAGUCAUCUGAUGUGAUCUUUUGGGAUUUCACUAAAGCUUUCUGUACUGUCUUUAUUAGUAUCCCUCUGAACAAAAUUACUCAGCUGGAUAAACACAUCAUAUGAUGGGAGGAUCACUUUUGCUGUUGCUUUCUCCAGCUCUAGUGGGGAAGGGCCUGGAGACCUAUCCUGUUCUGAGACCCAAGAGGAUGCAGUACUUUUCUAUCCAUUUUAAGGGCUCUGCAGCAAUACCUAGGUGCUGUUUUGGAAAUCUUACCUCUUACUCUCUGGAUUGGUGGCUGUGUUCUUCUCCAAGGGCUAAUAGAGAAAAAUUAUACCAGGUUGAGGAUCCAGUUCCCCAGCAACCCUGUAUCUCCUGGUUGUCUUUAUGGAAUGAGCUUGGAUGGAAUGGAUGCACUUGGAGAAAAGUCAAAUGGUAGCAAAAAUGUAGUUGGCAUCUACACAAAGAAUCUACUGUAGCUGCUUGCUAAGUCUCACUUCAGUGCCUGGAAAAUCGUGGAGGAGGUCAUUCUGGGAGUUAGUGAAAAACAUCGCAGUCAUCAGUCACAGCCAGUACGGGUUUAUGAGGGGGAAGUCCUGCUUAUCAAACCUGGUUUCCUUUCAUAACAAGGUAGCCCACCCAACUGAUCAAGGGAAGCCAGUUGAUGUGAUCAUUUUUGAUUUCAGUAAGGCUUUUGAUACUGUCUCUCACAGGAUCUUUCAGGACAAAAUGUCCAGUGCACAGCUGGAUAAACACAACAUGCAACAGGUAAGCAGCCGGCCCAGGGGUCAGGCACAAAGGGUUAUAGUGAAUGGGGUGACAUCAGACUAGGGACAUCUUCAUAAAUGCCUUGGAUGCAGGACUCAAAAAAGUGCUAAGUGUGCAGGUGAUAGGAAGUUGGGAUUUUAAGGAAGGCAAAGCCAGAUCCUGCACCUUGGAAGGGUCAACUGUAGAUGUGCAUAAAAACUGGAAAAUGAGACGCUGGAGAGCAGCACUUUGGAGAGAGAUCUGAGGAUCCUGGUCAAUGGCAAAUUGAAUCUGAGUCAGUGGUGCCCUGGCAGCCAGGAGGGCCAACCGUGUCCUGGGGGGCAUCAGGCACAGCAUCAUCAGCUAGGCAAGGGAGGGGAUUGUCCGGCUCUGCUCUGAACUGGGGUGGCCUUACCUCAAGUCCUGUGUGCAGUUUUGAACACA